rnacentral:rRNA from 1 species
GAUGAACGCUGGUGGCGUGCCUAAUACAUGCAAGUCGAGCGAAUGGAUUAAGAGCUUGCUCUUAUGAAGUUAGCGGCGGACGGGUGAGUAACACGUGGGUAACCUGCCCAUAAGACUGGGAUAACUCCGGGAAACCGGGGCUAAUACCGGAUAACAUUUUGAACCGCAUGGUUCGAAAUUGAAAGGCGGCUUCGGCUGUCACUUAUGGAUGGACCCGCGUCGCAUUAGCUAGUUGGUGAGGUAAUGGCUCACCAAGGCGACGAUCAGUAUCCGGCCUGAGAGGGCGGACGGACACACUGGGACUGAGACACGGCCCAGACUCCUACGGGAGGCAGCAGUGGGGAAUUGUUCACAAUGGGCGCAAGCCUGACGACGCAACGCCGCGUGGAGGAUGAAGGUCUUCGGAUUGUAAACUCCUGUUGCUCGGGAAGAAUGGCUCCGACCUAAUACGUCGGAGUGUGACGGUACCGGGUGAGGAAGCCCCGGCUAACUUCGUGCCAGCCGCCGCUGUAA